ensembl:lncRNA
CUCCUGUAGGACUGCCACGGGCAGUGUGGGGCAGGAAGACAAUCCUGCACUGGGGCUUCACGGCACAGCCACAGAUGGAAGUCACGUGCAUCCCUCUCUCUGCAACACAUUUUACAAGAAUAUUAUGCUAUCAGAUGUAAGCUAUAUUGCUAUGCAUGUGUGCACUGCUGCAUGAUGGUGACCACCAUCUCCUAACUGCAGGCUUAACGAGACUUAUUCAGUACAGAUUUAAUAUACUAUGUAAUUACUAUGUGAUUUUAGACAGUUAUUACAUACCACCUUUUCUAUAAACGCUUUUUAUAGAACAAUCAUCACUGACAUCUAUUUUCCCCUCCUGGUUGCUGCUUUUGGGAUAACUCUGUGUUUCCUCACAGCCGCCCCUCAGUCCGGUGGCGCCUGUUGACACGUCAUGCUGUAACGCACACUCCACAGGAAGGAAGAUAAGGUGGCAUUUCAGAGAUGUUCAUACCAUAGGAUGCCCACUGCUUGGGAUGAGGGGCAGGGUGGCUGUCAGCACUCCCAUCUCAGGAGCUGUUUUUGGUAGCAGCCACGGGGAAAGCCAAAGAAGUCAAGCACUGAGGGAUGAAGACAAAGAACAAACAUUAUAAGGGAAACAGAUUAAUAAAAGAAGCUUGGCCACACUACCUCCCCAUAAGCGACUGCCGUUUGUGUUAUCACAGUGCUGAAGGAGAGCUGGGAGUGAGCUGUCAGCAGAUGGGCCUGCUGAAGCGAAUCACGUUCUGCACUGCGUGCUCUGCAGCUCCCGAACAAAAUGGGCUAAGCAGGAAACAAAAGCUGGGCUUUGACUCCUGCUGCACUGGCUCAAGUGAGUUCUAGCCGGAUCCUUAAUGUUGUUUUAUCUGCAGAGUUUUCGUGUGUGUGAUCAAUGCCAACUCCGUUGGGCAAAUACAGGAUGCAUAGGGAAUU